rnacentral:lncRNA from 1 species
UGGAUUGCUUCUAUCUUUGCUUUUGCCACCUGUGGAGGUUUUAAGGGCCAAACAGAAAUUCAAGUGAAUUGUCCUCCUGCAGUUACUGAGAAUAAAACUGUUACAGCUACUUUUGGUUAUCCAUUCAGGUUGAAUGAGGCAUCAUUUCAGCCACCUCCAGGUGUAAACAUAUGUGAUGUAAAUUGGAAAGAUUACGUCCUCAUAGGCGAUUACUCUUCUUCUGCACAAUUCUAUGUUACCUUUGCAGUCUUUGUGUUCCUGUACUGCAUUGCUGCCCUUCUGCUUUAUGUUGGCUACACGAGUCUGUAUCUGGAUAGUCGUAAACUUCCUAUGAUAAAUGGAAAUGGACUUUGUUGUUACACUUGUUGCCACUUUUUUGUGGUUGGUGAGCACUUCAGCCUGGGCUAAAGCUCUGACAGAUAUUAAAAUAGCUACUGGUCACAAUAUUAUUGAUGAACUUCCGCCUUGUAAGAAGAAAGCAGUACUGUGUUACUUUGGCUCUGUGACCAGUAUGGGAUCCCUAAAUGUAUCUGUGAUAUUUGGCUUUCUAAAUAUGAUACUCUGGGGAGGAAAUGCUUGGUUUGUGUACAAGGAGACCAGCCUACACAGUCCAUCAAAUACAUCUGCCCCUCAUAGCCAAGGAGGUAUUCCACCUCCUACCGGAAUAUAAUUAAAGGGAGAAAUACACUGUAUGAAGUAUAUGUUGAUACUAUGACAUGUUGCCAACACCUUGAGAAGCAUUAUUUGUUUCUAAUAAAAGUAAUGGCUUUGUCAAUAUAUUGGUGGGUUUAAAACUUUGCUGCUUUUUUACAUAAAGCCUGUGCCUUUCCUAGAA